GAUGAACGCUGGCGGCGUGCCUAAUACAUGCAAGUCGAGCGAACAGAUGAGGAGCUUGCUCCUCUGACGUUAGCGGCGGACGGGUGAGUAACACGUGGAUAACCUACCUAUAAGACUGGGAUAACUUCGGGAAACCGGAGCUAAUACCGGAUAAUAUAUUGAACCGCAUGGUUCAAUAGUGAAAGACGGUUUUGCUGUCACUUAUAGAUGGAUCCGCGCCGCAUUAGCUAGUUGGUAAGGUAACGGCUUACCAAGGCAACGAUGCGUAGCCGACCUGAGAGGGUGAUCGGCCACACUGGAACUGAGACACGGUCCAGACUCCUACGGGAGGCAGCAGUAGGGAAUCUUCCGCAAAGGGCGAAAGCCUGAAGGAGCAACGCCGCGUGAGUGAUGAAGGUCUUCGGAUCGUAAAACUCUGUUAUUAGGGAAGAACAAAUGUGUAAGUAACUAUGCACGUCUUGACGGUACCUAAUCAGAAAGCCACGGCUAACUACGUG
rnacentral:rRNA from 1 species